GAAUUCAAGAGGAGUCUCCUCGACACAGUAGUCAACAUUUCUCAUAUAAAUUAAGUUUGUAAGGUUGGUAUAAUGCUGCUGCGUCGUAAUUUUAUAUAUGCCAAGAGAGACCGAUUUUCAGUAAACAAAAUUUGUUCUAGUGCUUGGCUCAGUGCAAUGAUUAAACUCAU